ensembl:lncRNA
GGAGUCACGAUGUGAGCCCAGGAAGAGAGGACACAUGCCGCCAGCCUCCUCGAUCAGAUAAGUCUUUAUAAACUAUACAGAUUAAUGGUUAUGGUUGAUAAUUAAGACUGGGUUAGCAGAUAGGAUAUCCUAGUCAUUGGCCAGCAACAUUGUAAUUAAUAUAAGACUCUGUGUGUUAUUUCAGGCUCCCACAUGGUGGCGGGGCUCAGGUGGAUGGCGUAACUACUUAUCGUUACAGGACUGUGAAGUAAAAUUAAGAAAGAUGUGAAAGAGAAUUAAGGACUGUGAUUUAUAAGCAAAUAUUUUAUCUAGGGCUGAGACACAUCUUUCAUUGUGGUAGGGCAUCAUUGUGAAUUGCUAUGUCUCCCCCAUAGUUCUUUCUAGUUACCCUAGGAUCAUCCCCUACUUAUCCCCUGUUUUGGAAUAUGUGUGUGUGUGUGUGUGUGGGGUUGUGCCCAAAUUCUGAACCCCCAAAUCACCAAGAGACCCGUUCCAAUGCAAAAGCAAAGUCAUUAUUAUUAUUAUUAUUAUUAUUUCCAAGACAGGGUUUCUCUGUGUAACUUUGACACUCUCUCUGGAGACCAGGCUGUCCUCAAACUCACAGAGAUCCUCCUCCCUCUGCCUCCCGAGUGCUGGGAUUAUAAAGGUGUGCGCCACUAAUGCCUGGCUUGCAAAUUCUUAUUAUUUAGCGAGUUAACUGUAUUAACUCUGUUGCUCCGUCUGUCUGACCCAGUAGGUAGAGUGAGAAGGACCCAGAGGGACUGAGGGGCAGGUAUUUUAUUGGGGCAGAGCAAGGGGAAUGUCUAGGGUCCACAACAGUCUCAGGAUUGGUGCAUUUCUGGGCUUGGGCCACCUGUCCUGUGUUGGUCAACUGGUUGCUAUGCUCUGCACAUCACUGUUACCAUAAAGCACAUCCAGAGGCUGCCAGCUAACUUCUGAUUGGUUCCUUGCCACAUGGAGGGUAUCUGGCUUCCUCAUGACUAGGAGGUCGGGCAAGGUCAGGCAAGCAUAUGUUGCUGAGUCAGGGACCUUUGUCUUGCUGGGUCUUUUCUGUAGCGUGUUAUGGUUGCUAAAGCUGGGGGCUGGUUGAGGGGCUGGUCCCUUCAGGGGGAGUCUUGCUGUAUAUCAAGCUGGCCUGAACAUACUAUUUACUCCAGUCUGGCCUCAAACUUGUCAUUCUCUUGCCUCAAGCUUCCAAAAUGCUGGGAUUCUAGACAAUGCAUAUUGCCCCACUCAGCUCCCUUUCCCAUUCAUUCAUUCCUUUUGUUUUAUUUAUUUAUUUAUUUAUUUAUUCAUUCAUUCUUGAGACAGAGUUUCUCUUUGUAGUUCUGACUGUCCUAGAACUCACUCAGACCAGGCUGGUCUCAAACUCAGAGAUCUCCCUGCCUCUGCCUCCCAAGUCCUGGGAUUUAAGGUGUGCCUACCACCACCCAGCUCAUUUUACUGUUCUUAAGACAUGGAUUGUCUGUCAUUGGGAAGGUUGCUACAGAAAAAUAGAGGGAAGGGGGGGAGGUAGAGAAAGAGAAUUUUACCUUUUGUGUUUCAAAAUCCUAAGUCCAGGAAGAGGAGAGGAAGACUCAGAAUAGCCACUGAUCACUUCCGGCUAGCUUUCCUUCCCUCUUUUCCAACUGAGACUUAUCUAAGUCUCCAGAAGACUGAGAGAACAAGGGAAGCAUCUGAGAUGGAGCAGGAUGUACCCUCCCCCAGAGCCAACUCACAGGACUGUAGACACAAACAAGGAUCCAGGGAGAGAGGAAGCGUGUGCUUUGCUUCCGGUGACAUCAUGAGACUCAUAGGCAUUUCCUGUCCAAGGGCAUGGAAACUCAGUUGAGUGAUUAUGGAGCCUCUGAGAAGGCACAGAAGUGCCCAGGGCAACAUCUGGAGGGGCUCUGGGGCUGAGGACCAGGUGAACAGUACAUCUCAUAGAUGCAGAUGUAGAAAGAUGACAACUGAGGGCCAGAGCUCCUUCCCAUUUUUGUCAGAUAAGUACUGCAUUAUCCAAUUGUGCAACUGGAGCUCCUUCUGUAGGGAAAAGGGUCCAGCCAAAGAAACACACUUUAGCCCUGCAACCAAAACCAAAGAAAUGCACCCUGGCCCUGAAACCAGUGCCAAAGAAACACACUUUGUCCCUGGAAUCAGAGCCAGUGAAAGAAAUACACUCUGGUCUUAAAACUAGAGCCAAAAGGUUAAAAAGGACCAGUGAAAGAAACACAUUUUGGCCCUGAAACCAGAGCCAAAUCUGACCCUAAACCUGUGCAGAAAACUAACCAAUCCCUGAGCAGGACAUCUAGCCACUCUGAGCUCAGGGAUUGAAAUCUGACCAUUGCCUACCCUGGAAAAACUCUGCCCCCCUAAGAAUCCCUAUAUAAACCCUGUGCCUCUUCAGCUUAUGGUUGUUCAGGCUGCCCUGCUGUCCUCUGCCAUCCUGGUAGAGGGCAGCCACUCUCCUGAAUUCUUCCCUCCCAAUAAAUCUCUUGAAUGAGGCUUGAAUGACCUUCUUUCAUGAGAGCAGAGACGACCCUGGAUGGAGCAGAGCAGGGCUGUAACACUUUUCCCUGGGGAAACCUUCCCUGGCAAAGCGAAGUUGUUACACUCCCCUCUCCUGGGGACUGAAGCCGAACUGUAAUAAUUUUGCCUGGGAAACCCUCUCCUGCUGGAGCAGAGCUGAUACACUCGGGAAGCCUUUCCCUGAAGCAGGGCUGUAAGCUGCUGUGCUUACUGUGACCUGUGGUAUUCUUUGGCUCCUGAUUGCCAGAAUUCCUUUCUAUCCAAGCUGUAACACUCAGUAUUCUGUCUUUUCGAAGCAACAGAAUAGUGACUAAGUCAGAUACACAAUUGUGUCUGUCUGAGAACACAUGGUUGUGUGUGUGUGUGUGUGUGUGUGUGUGUGUGUGUGUGUGUGUGUGUGUGUGUUUGCACACUAGGAAUGAAAUCUGAGGCCUAGUGCAUGUUAGGCAAGUGCUUUGCUUUUGAACUGUACCUCAGCUCCUGUGUUUUGUUGGAGGAUGUCUUAGAACUGAUUAUGGUGAAUGUGCCCAUUUCUGAGUCUCUCUCAAUGGUAAUAAGUAGAUAGGAAAGUAAGAACCAGAGGAAAGACCACCUUCCAUAGAUGACCUAGCCAUGGUGACCUGGUGGCACAUGUUUGUAAUCUUGGUAUUUGGGAGGCUGAGGCAGGAUUGCUGAUAGGGCAAGACCAGCCAGGGCUACAUAGUGAGAUUGAGUUAAGAAACAAACAAACAGGGAUGUGGCUCAGCUGGUACCAUGUUUGCUUGUCAUGCAGAAGGCCUUGGGUUCAAACCCCUCCAGCACCAUGUAAACCAGGCCUGAGGCACACAUCUGUAAUCCCAACACCUGGGAUAUAGACCCGGGAGAAUCAAGAACUCAAGUUAAAGAACUCAACCUGAAGAAUUCCUCUUCAGGUACAUACCAAGUUCUAGGUCAGUCUGGGGUAUAUGAGAACUUACUUCCAAACAGACAAAACUUCCCAACUGAGGGACUUCUGGGGAGAAGCCAGAGUUAGAAUGAAGCUUUGAAAUUAAGACGAGGUUUGAACAGUAACUAAAGACUCUAGGCAAAUGCUUCUCAUUGCUCUGUGCCUUGAGUUUCAUUUUGAUAUUUCAUUCUUACCUUUCCUCUUCUCCUCCUCUGGGUUUUUGUUUGUUUGCUUGUUUUUGUUGUUGUUUUUUUGAGACAGGUUUUUUUCUAUGUAGCCCUGGCUGUCCUAGAACUCACUCUGUAGACCAGGCUGGCCCAGAACUCAGAGAUCUGCCUGCCUCUGCCUCCUGAGAGCUAAGAUUAAAGCCAUGCACCACUGCCCCAGGAUGUUAUUAUUAUUAUUAAUUAUUACUACUUUUUUCUCUGUUUAGGGGUGUUUUUCCUGCACACAUGUCUGUGUCCCAAUUGCAUGCCCUCAGAGGUCAGAAGAGGGUGUCAGACCUCCUAGAACAGACUGUCAUGAACUGCCACGUGGGCACUGGGAAUUGAACUCUGGUUCUCUGGAAUAGAAGCCAAUGCUUCUGACAGCUGAGACAUCCCCCCAGCCCCAUUUGUUUUUAAAAUGGGGUCUUGCUAUGUAACCCUAUGUAGCCUUAAGCUUCUUCCAUUUCUGUCCCACAAAUUCUGGGAUUACAUGUGCGCUACCACUACUGAUUUAAUGUAUAUUUCUAUGUUAGUCAGAAUAGAUAUUCUUAUUUUUGAUCCCUGUUGCCUCACAUCCAUAGAUCCAUGUAAUCUUUUUGAGAGUGGGUUGGACCCUGUGGCUCACUUCUGAUAAAUAGAACGUGGCGGACAUGACAGACAGCAUCACUUUUUUUUAGUAUACGUGAAGCCUAAGUGAACACCGUGCAGCAUCUCUUACAUUAAAUUGUAAUUGCAACCUCUGGCUUGGUUCAUUCUCCUUUCUCCGAGUCCCUGUACUUGGAGAUGAAUGCUUUUGUACUGUGAGCAACUCCACGCAACAUGCGCAGGCUGCGGCGAGGGAUUGCAGGCUGCUGACAGCCAGGCGAGUGAGUUUAGGAGUAGUCUGUCUUCUCCAAUCAAGUCAUGAGAAAACUGUAGCUCCAGGCUAUAGCUUGGCUGUGAUCUCCCAAGAGGCCUUGAGCCAGACAUCUAAUGAAGUGGUUCCCAGAUUCCUGAUUGACAGAAAUUACCAGAUAAUACAUGUUUGACUUUUUUUUUAAGCUCAGAAGAAUUUGUUAUUGAGAAAUGGAGAAGUCAUAGCUGGUUCAGGCCCAUCUCACUGUACCCAAACCCAUCUUGUGGUUAUUUUCCUAGGCCUAGAAUGCAUAAUUAGAAUAUAUACACUCAGCAACUGGCAACAUUCCCACAGUGGUUCCCUGGUGCAUGGAACAAGGGUUAUUGUGAUAAAAACCACAGUGGAUGUUAUAGACCAGCCUCUCUUACAAAAAUGCAUCCUGAAAGCAAUAUUGCAUUCUUGGAGGAAUUGCCUGACUGGUAGCCUUGAAAGACACAGAGGCCAUGAUGCCAAGAGCGACAGUGGACUGUCUUAAACUGAUUCAGGCAGUAACUUCAAUUGUAGGUGUUUACAGAUGUGACUGUGACAAGAUCAUCACACAUCUGGUAUGUAGCUUGUGAUCUGGUACACACACUUUUCUUUUUGCCUAUUAAUGAAGCUCUCAGAAGUUGGCUCUUGCCUAAUGAGGCAGCAAUCUGUCUUCAGUAGGCUAUCUCAGGAGUAAAUAAACUGUCCAUCCCUGCACUAAUGAAGUCCACAGGCCCCUGACUGCCUUUCCCUUCCAUAGGACAUUGCACUGGUCUGACAAUGUGCUUAGUGGACAUGGUAAUCAGUAAGUUCUAGGCACGGUUUAUUUGUGUGUGGAGAGUGGGAGAUGAACUCCACUGAAGAGAAAGUCAUUUAGGGGUCCAAUUAUCUGAGAUAUGAAGAUAUUUCUCUUCUCUGGUGACACUUAUGUUGUUGGAUCAAGGUCUUCCCACAGUGCCUCCUGGGGCUCUUGGGUUUUUGGUGGGGAUAUAUUUCUCAUUUGGAUAUGCUGCUUUGGCUCUGUUGCUUACUGGCUAGAAGGUGCCUAUUUUGAGUAAUUCUCAGAAUGAGCUUCAUCUCUAGAACAGGUAGAGCUGCUGUGCAAACUGUUCUGCUAAUUGGGUCAUGUGACUCAUCACAUACAAUGGUCUUGCAAUUCUAAGGAUACUUUAGGAGCGUUUGGCAGCCUGCUUUGCUGAAUCACAGCACGGAUCCUUGGAAAUUUUUAGUUAAGCGAUGCUACCCUCUGAGAAUAACAGUUCCCCUUCAGGGAACCACCAAUGGCCUGCUACCAGGCCUGAGACUGAACACUUGGCCGGAAGCUGCCACAUUACUGUGUGAAAGCGCUGCCCCGGGUGUAUGGGCAUUGUUGGACCUACCAAGUCUGAAAGUUGCCAGUGGCUUUAUCAAAUCGUGUGAAAGCUUUGAGAUUAGAUAGGGUUGGGUCCUGAAGACCAAGUUGCAUGAGGACUCAGAAGCAGCUUGGGUGUGAACACCCCUCACUCAUGCUACCCUUAGCGUCAGUCUACGACUUCAGCCUAUGACUGAGGAAGAAAAUGCUUGAGGCCUAUUUACAGUCAUCCUUCCUGAUUUGUAGGUGUCACCUGAAAGAGGAUAGCUACAGACCACCUUGGGGAAGGCAACAGGCCAGGCUAGGGAAGGGAAGCUUUCCAUUGGACUAGACUUUGAACAGAGUGUGUGGUAAUUCUUUUUUCCUGAAAUGCUAGAUGGCCAGAUGUUUGGGCCCACAUCAAUUCAUUGCCUAUAGUUAAUGGUUUGAUUAGACAUUCAGGGACUUGACAGGCACACAGUUGGAAAGUUGGUUUGUGAGGAAGCAGUAUUUGCACAGACCUCAGAUUGUGGUGGUAUUUGUGUCUCAUGUAAAAGACUAGCAAAGGGAGGUCCAGACAGUGCACAACAUCGAUAGAUGAAAUGAAGGAUUCUGUGGAAUUGCAGCCAUCCUUUCCCAAUGGGCUAAUGAGCAGAUAGCUGGGGAUGGAGUCAAGGAUGGAGGUUAUAUGGGCCUGGUGCCCAUAUUCCCAGCACUUGGGAUGCUGAGGCAGGAGGUUAGAGAGUUUGAGACCAUCCUGGGCUACAUAUAUAUUUCUCAAAUAUACCAUAUGUACAUAUAUUUGGAUUGACAUUUCAUUUUUUUGCAUUUAUAUAUUGUGUAUGUGUGUCUAUGUGUAUAGGUCAAAAAACAACUUGCAGCAGUUGGCUUUCUACUUCUACCUUAUGGGAUCUGGGGAUUGAGUUUAUGCUGUCAGGCUUGGCAGCAAGGACCUUUACCUUCUGAGCCAAUUUGCUGGCUUAGUUUGAUAAUUUUUAAUAAAUAUGCUCCCUGAUGCUCCCUUUUAAUUUAUAAACGAUGACUCUAUUUGAGGACUGGAGGUAGUUUAGCGAUUGAGAGCACUUACUGUUCUGCCCAAAGACCAGAGUCUGGUUUCCAGCACCCAUGCUGGAUGGUUGACAAAUGCCUGUAACUCCAGCUCCAGGGAAUCUGAUGCCCUCUUCUGGCCACACACAGACACACAUACACACAUGCACUUGUAUAAGUAAACACACAUGUGUAUACCCAAAUACAAAUAUAAUCAAUCUUUAAAGUUUGUUCCUUAUAGCCGGACGGUGGUGGCACAUGCCUUUAAUCCCAGCACUCAGGAGGCAAAAGCAGGCAGAUCUCUAUGAGUUCGAGGCCAGCCUGCUCUACAAGAGCUAGUUCUAGGACAGCCUCCAAAAGCCACAGAGAAACCCUGUCUCGAAAACAAAACACAACAACAAAAUUGUUCGUUGUGAUUAAUAUAUAAUCAGUUAUAAUAGCUCUUUCCGUAUUUCAGGGCAAUGUAGAUAUAAUCCCUGUUGAGUAUAGAGUUAGGUAUAAUAUUUUAUUAUUAUAUAUUCCCUCUAUACUUAAUUUUGUUAGUUUGAUCUAGUUUAGAGUAAAGGUGUGUUAACUUUUAUGAUAAUAGCUCUGAUGAUCCAUCCUCAUAAAAAUUACUGGCAAUAUUUUUGCUUUAUGCAUUUUUGAAAGUGUAUUGUUAGGUGCAUAAAAGUUCACAACUGGUAUAGCUUCUUGGUAGGCUGAACUUUUACGACAAUGAAACCAUUUUAUGCCUUUUAAUUUUAUCAUAUGCCAUAUUAUGAUAAAUGGCCAUUAACUCUGGCCAUUUCUGUUAACGAUUGAGCUAACAUGUAAAAUACUUGGUUUCGUGACCGACAAUACAAGCAACAAAGAGUAGCCUCUGUAGUUAUCUUUGUCAUUGUCAUCAUGAUUGCUCUGGGUGUCAUAGCGUGCAGUUUUUCUGGUGUCUCUGAGAGACAAAGAAACAAAAGAAAAAAAAAAACUGAAGAUCUUCAGGUCACCGAAGUGGGGCAGGGGGCGUAGCUCAGAGACCAAGGGCUCUCUUGGUAUGCUCAGGUCCUGGGUUUGGCCCUCAUACUGAAAGGACAAGCGACCUCUCCGACCUUGCACAAUGUUGCUUAGAUUCUUUUUUUUUUUCAAACAAGGUGAUGGAAACUCCAGGAAAAAGAGGCCCCAGACUUGGACAAAUUGACAGAGAGCCUGCCAAAAGAAGUCUCCUAGGCAGCCAAGAUAAUACAACAGAAACAGAUUUCUUAUUGGAUUUUAGCCUUUGUGUUUUGGAGGCCCAGCUGAAAUGAGGAAGGGAAGAAAAAGCAAAGCAAGUUCACUUCAUCCUCUCAACAACUUCAUGAGUAUUGUUACCCUGCUGCUGUAAAUGAAAAAGGUAUGUGGAAUAUCAAGGACCUGUGAUGUAGGUCCUAAGGUAAAGCCUGGGGUGGAGAAGAGUCAAGACGACCCCUCUGAAGUAAUGUCCCACCACUUAUUGCAUCCAAGUCUCUUCCAAGGUCACUCCCCAGCAUCUUAUGCAUUCAGGGCCAGCAUGGUAUAACUUGCAAAACCAGGGAACACUCUGGUGAGCUUUAAAAAAAUAAGUGAGUCUUCCAGAGGGGCUGGAGCGAUGGCUCAGAGCUUAAGAUCCCUGACGGCUCUUCUAGAGGUCCUGAGUUCAAUUCCCAGCAACCACAUGGUGGCUCACAGCCAUCUAUGAGAUCCGGUGCCCUCUUCUGGCUUAUGG